GGUUUCUUGAUUUGGAUAUAAGAAAUUUGACCUGCCCACUGAAUAAUUUUGAAGGGCCGCAGUAUUUUGACUGUGCAAAGGUAGCAUAAUCAUUAGUCUUUUAAUUGAGGGCUAGAAUGAAUGGUUGGACGAGGUAAAUUCUGUUUCAUUUAAAUUAAUUGAAUUUAAAUUUUAAGUAAAAAUGCUUAAUUGAUUUUAAGGGACGAGAAGACCCUAUAGAGUUUAAUAAAUGAUAUUUUUAUUAGGUUUAUUUUAAUAUUUAUAAUUUCUAUUAAGUUUAUUUAAUUGGGGUGAUUGAAAUAAUAUAAAAAACUUUUUUUUUAUUUAAAUUAUUUAAAAAAAUAUUUGAUCCAUUAUUAUUGAUUAAAAGAUUAAAUUACCUUAGGGAUAACAGCAUAAUUAUUUUUGAGAGUUCUUAUCGAGAAAGUAGAUUGUGACCUCGAUGUUGGAUUAAGAUAAAAGUUGGGUGCAGAUGUUCAAAUUUUUAGGUCUGUUCGACCUUAAAAAUCUUACA
rnacentral:rRNA from 1 species